rnacentral:rRNA from 1 species
AGUGAACGCUGGCGGUAGGCCUAACACAUGCAAGUCGAACGGCAGCACAGUAAGAGCUUGCUCUUACGGGUGGCGAGUGGCGGACGGGUGAGGAAUACAUCGGAAUCUACUUUUUCGUGGGGGAUAACGUAGGGAAACUUACGCUAAUACCGCAUACGACCUACGGGUGAAAGCAGGGGAUCUUCGGACCUUGCGCGAUUGAAUGAGCCGAUGUCGGAUUAGCUAGUUGGCGGGGUAAAGGCCCACCAAGGCGACGAUCCGUAGCUGGUCUGAGAGGAUGAUCGGCCACACUGGAACUGAGACACGGUCCAGACUCCUACGGGAGGCAGCAGUGGGGAAUAUUGGGCAAUGGGCGAAAGCCUGACCCAGCCAUGCCGCGUGAGUGAUGAAGGCCUUCGGGUUGUAAAGCCCUUUUGUUGGGGAAGAAAAGCAGCAGGUGAAUACCCCGCUGUCCUGACGGUACCCAAUGAAAAAGCCCCGGCUAACUUCGUG